UAGAGUUUGAUCCUGGCUCAGGAUGAACGCUGGCGACGUGGAUAAGGCAUGCAAGUCGAACGGUUGUAGCAAUACAACAGUGGCGAACGGGUUAGUAACACGUAGAUAUCAACCCUUUACUCGGGCAUAACCUGGAGAAAUCUAGGCUAAUUCCCGAUAGUCCGGAAACGGUAAAGAUUUUUCGGUAAAGGAUGAGUCUGCGUCCUAUCAGCUAGUUGGUGAGGUAAUGGCUCACCAAGGCAAUGACGGGUAGGCGGAGUGAGAGCUUGACCGCCAACAAUGGCACUGAGACACGGGCCAUACUCCUACGGGAGGCAGCAGUCGAGAAUAUUUGACAAUGGGCGAAAGCCUGAUCAAGCGACGUCGCGUGUGGGAUUAAGAUCUUCGGAUUGUAAACCACUUUUCUAGGGGAAGAACUUUGACUGUACCCUAGGAAUAAGGGGUGACUAAACUCGUGCCAGCAGCCGCGGUAAUUCA
rnacentral:rRNA from 1 species